CGUGGGUAACCUGCCCAUCAGAGGGGGAUAACAUUCGGAAACGGAUGCUAAAACCGCAUAGGUCCUUUAACCGCAUGGUUGAAGGAGGAAAGAGGCGCAAGCUUCUGCUGAUGGAUGGACCCGCGGUGCAUUAGCUAGUUGGUGAGGUAACGGCUCACCAAGGCCGUGAUGCAUAGCCGACCUGAGAGGGUGAUCGGCCACAUUGGGACUGAGACACGGCCCAA
rnacentral:rRNA from 1 species